GACGAACGCUGGCGGCGUGCCUAAUUCAUGCAAGUCGAGCGGAAUGAUGAAGAAGCUUGCUUCUUCUGAUUUUAGCGGCGGACGGGUGAGUAACACGUGGGCAACCUACCUUGUAGAUUGGGAUAACUCCGGGAAACCGGGGCUAAUACCGAAUAAUCCAUUUUGCUUCAUGGCGAGAUGUUGAAAGACGGUUUCGGCUGUCACUACAAGAUGGGCCCGCGGCGCAUUAGCUAGUUGGUAGGGUAAUGGCCUACCAAGGCGACGAUGCGUAGCCGACCUGAGAGGGUGAUCGGCCACACUGGGACUGAGACACGGCCCAGACUCCUACGGGAGGCAGCAGUAGGGAAUCUUCCACAAUGGACGAAAGUCUGAUGGAGCAACGCCGCGUGAGUGAAGAAGGUUUUCGGAUCGUAAAACUCUGUUGUAAGGGAAGAACACGUACGAGAGUAACUGCUCGUACCUUGACGGUACCUUAUUAGAAAGCCACGGCUAACUACGUG
rnacentral:rRNA from 1 species